GGGAAUACGCUUAGGAUUCUCAUAGCGUGGUCGUGUUAAUAGUUCUUCUUUUGGCCGAGGAGAGCGGUUAGUGAAUC
rfam:Prevotella baroniae F0067 contig00010, whole genome shotgun sequence.